rnacentral:rRNA from 1 species
UGGGGAAUUUUGGACAAUGGGCGAAAGCCUGAUCCAGCCAUGCCGCGUGAGUGAAGAAGGCCUUCGGGUUGUAAAGCUCUUUUAGUCGGAAAGAAAGAGUUGCAAUGAAUAAUUGUGAUUUAUGACGGUACCGACAGAAAAAGCACCGGCUAACUUCGUGCCAGCAGCCGCGGUAAUACGAAGGGGGCUAGCGUUGUUCGGAUUUACUGGGCGUAAAGGGUGCGCAGGCGGUCUUGCAAGUCAGAUGUGAAAGCCCCGGGCUUAACCUGGGAAUUGCGUUUGAAACUACAAGGCUAGAGUGCAGCAGAGGGGAGUGGAAUUCCAUGUGUAGCAGUGAAAUGCGUAGAGAUGUGGAAGAACACCGAUGGCGAAGGCAGCUCCCUGGGUUGACACUGACGCUCAUGCACGAAAGCGUGGGGAGCAAACG